rnacentral:rRNA from 1 species
CGGAGCAUGCGGAUUAAUUCGAUGCAACGCGAAGAACCUUACCAAGGCUUGACAUGCACCGGAAACCAUCAGAGAUGGUGGCUCCGUAAGGCUGGUGCACAGGUGGUGCAUGGUUGUCGUCAGCUCGUGUCGUGAGAUGUUGGGUUAAGUCCCGCAACGAGCGCAACCCUCGUCCUAUGUUGCCAGCGGGUCAUGCCGGGGACUCAUGGGAGACUGCCGGGGUCAACUCGGAGGAAGGUGGGAUGACGUCAAAUCAUCAUGCCCCUUAUGUCUUGGGCUUCACGCAUGCUACAAUGGCCGGUACAAAGGGCUGCGAUACCGCGAGGUGGAGCGAAUCCCAGAAAGCCGGUCUCAGUUCGGAUUGGGGUCUGCAACUCGACCCCAUGAAGUCGGAGUCGCUAGUAAUCGCAGAUCAGCAACGCUGCGGUGAAUACGUUCCCGGGCCUU